AUUGAACGCUGGCGGCAGGCCUAACACAUGCAAGUCGAGCGAGCGGCGGACGGGUGAGUAAUGUAUGGGGACUGCCCGAUAGAGGGGGAUAACUACUGGAAACGGUAGCUAAUACCGCAUACUAUCGGAUAACCCAUAUGGGAUUAGCUAGUAGGUGAGGUAAUGGCUCACGUAGGCGACGAACCCUAGCUGGGCUGAGAGGAUGAUCGGCGACACUGGGACUGAGACACGGCCCAGACUCCUACGGAGGCAGCAGUGGGGAAUAUUGCACAAUGGGAGCAAGCCGUAUGCAGCCAUGCCGCGUGUAUGAAGAAGGACCUAGGGUUGUAAAGUACGUUCAGUAGGGAGGCGUUACCGACAGAAGAAGCACCGGCUAACUCCAUGCCAGCCGCCGCGGUAAUUC
rnacentral:rRNA from 1 species